rnacentral:rRNA from 1 species
UACGAAGGGGGCUAGCGUUGCUCGGAAUCACUGGGCGUAAAGGGCGCGUAGGCGGGCCGCGUAGUCGGUGGUGAAAUCUUUCGGCUCAACCGGAAAAUCGCCUCCGAUACUGGCGGCCUCGAGGGGGGUAGGGGCAUGCGGAACUUCGGGUGGAGCGGUGAAAUGCGUAGAUAUCCGAAGGAACGCCGGUGGCGAAAGCGGCGUGCUGGACCCCUUCUGACGCUGAUGCGCGAAAGCCAGGGGAGCGAACGGG